rnacentral:rRNA from 1 species
GACGAACGCUGGCGGCGUGCCUAAUACAUGCAAGUCGAACGCUUCUUUCCUCCCGAGUGCUUGCACUCAAUUGGAAAGAGGAGUGGCGGACGGGUGAGUAACACGUGGGUAACCUACCCAUCAGAGGGGGAUAACACUUGGAAACAGGUGCUAAUACCGCAUAACAGUUUAUGCCGCAUGGCAUAAGAGUGAAAGGCGCUUUCGGGUGUCGCUGAUGGAUGGACCCGCGGUGCAUUAGCUAGUUGGUGAGGUAACGGCUCACCAAGGCCACGAUGCAUAGUCGACCUGAGAGGGUGAUCGGCCACACUGGGACUGAGACACGGCCCAGACUCCUACGGGAGGCAGCAGUAGGGAAUCUUCGGCAAUGGACGAAAGUCUGACCGAGCAACGCCGCGUGAGUGAAGAAGGUGUUCGGAUCGUAAAACUCUGUUGUUAGAGAAGAACAAGGACGUUAGUAACUGAACGUCCCCUGACGGUAUCUAACCAGAAAGCCACGGCUAACUACGUG